GCAGGGACGAAAGUCGGGCUUAGUGAUCCGGUGGUUCCGCAUGGAAGGGCCAUCGCUCAACGGAUAAAAGCUACCCUGGGGAUAACAGGCUGAUCUCCCCCAAGAGUCCACAUCGACGGGGAGGUUUGGCACCUCGAUGUCGGCUCAUCGCAUCCUGGGGCUGUAGUCGGUCCCAAGGGUUGGGCUGUUCGCCCAUUAAAGCGGUACGCGAGCUGGGUUCAGAACGUCGUGAGACAGUUCGGUCCCUAUCCGUCGCGGGCGCAGGAAAUUUGAGAGGAGCUGUCCUUAGUACGAGAGGACCGGGAUGGACGCACCGCUGGUGUACCAGUUGUCUUGCCAAAGGCAUCGCUGGGUAGCUAUGUGCGGAAGGGAUAAGUGCUGAAAGCAUCUAAGCAUGAAGCCCCCCUCAAGAUGAGAUUUCCCACAGUUUAUACUGGUAAGAUCCCUGAAAGAUGAUCAGGUUGAUAGGUCCGGGGUGGAAGCGCGGCGACGCGUGGAGCUGACGGAUACUAAUCGAUCGAGGACUUAACCAA
rnacentral:rRNA from 1 species